CUUCCUACAAUAAACAUGAUGGGUGCAUAUAGAAUUUAAGAUCCACUACGGAAAAAAAGUAGAGACCUUAUCAGAUAUCACUAAGACAUCAUCUUCUGACUCGCUAUUAGUUGUCGCUGUAGUAGUCCUUGUCUGAUCUUUGAGUUGAGGGCAAUUUCUGAUACGAUGACCCAACUCAUCACACCGGUAGCACUUGAACUUGCUGGGAUCCUUUAUCUUGGAUCUGGAUCAUUCUCCUUGC
rnacentral:lncRNA from 1 species